rnacentral:rRNA from 1 species
CGGACCGGCGCACGGGUGAGUAACACGUAUGCAACCUGGCCGUCACAGGUGGAUAACUGGAAGAAAUUCCGACUAAUACAGCAUAACACUCCUGAGGGACAUCCUUCGGGAGUCAAAGGAGGCAACUCCGGGUGACGGGAUGGGCAUGCGGCGCAUUAGGUAGUUGGUAGGGUAACGGCCUACCAAGCCGACGAUGCGUAGGGGUUCUGAGAGGAAGGUCCCCCACAUUGGAACUGAGACACGGUCCAAACUCCUACGGGAGGCAGCAG